rnacentral:piRNA from 1 species
UGCAACACAGGGCUUGUCCUAAUGCCAUGC